UACGUAGGGUGCAAGCGUUAUCCGGACUUAUUGGGCGUAAAGAGCUCGUAGGCGGUUUGUCGCGUCUGCUGUGAAAACUGGAGGCUCAACCUCCAGCCUGCAGUGGGUACGGGCAGACUAGAGUGCGGUAGGGGAGAUUGGAAUUCCUGGUGUAGCGGUGGAAUGCGCAGAUAUCAGGAGGAACACCAAUGGCGAAGGCAGAUCUCUGGGCCGUAACUGACGCUGAGGAGCGAAAGCAUGGGGAGCGAACAGG
rnacentral:rRNA from 1 species